CCGGGCUCGGGGCUCGGCACUCCGGGCUCGGGGCUCGGAACUCCGGGCUCAGGCUCCGGGCUCGGCACUCCGGGCUCGGGGCUCGGGGGCUCAGG
rnacentral:tRNA from 1 species